GAGGUGGGUCGAUCACUGGU
rnacentral:misc_RNA from 1 species